rnacentral:piRNA from 1 species
UAGAAAUGCAGAGAUGUUUGGACUG